CCCAAGAAAUUUCUUCUUUCUCUCUCACCAAAAUCAAUUUCCCUCCCCAAAAAUCAAAUGUUCAAUUUCAUCUAUUUCUUUGACCAUCUCUCUGAUGUCGGUUCUCUACAGUGACAAAUUGUUUUCAUCAAGAUUCAAUUGCCUUCAAUCCAAUAAUACACACCUUCAUCAUCCAAGGCUUUUUCUACUGCACCAACUAUCGAUUCAGAGAGGACCUGAUAUUAAAAGAGACGACGUAUGUUAACGAAGGUAUUCCUUUCAGUUUCUUUGGGGUGCUCUUUAUACGUGGAUCACCAGCAUAGAACCCACAAAAUUGCAAGGUUUAUGCUAUUUUUCUCUGUUUCAUCAACUUUCUAAUUAGAUAUUGGAUAUCUGAACAUCUUUGGGAAAGAGUGUACCGUUCUAUGUGAUUUUCAAGCCUAUCAUUUCUUUUCUUUUUUGGGUGCGAAAGUUGGGGAAGCUAAAGCUCCAGGUGUCCAUGGUUUCAGGCAUGUUAUUGUAGUUUUGAUCGGUUUAGUCUCUUCCUUAGCUGGUGGAGUGAGUUAUUGUUUUUUAAGGGUUGCAGCAAAGGCCUCCGACCAAUAUAUGUUGCAUUGUUCUAGUAAUGGGAUACAGGAUCAUCACGAGUAGCUCUGUAAUUUGCAUGAAGAUAUAGAUGGUGAAGAUAGGUUCUUCGAUUCCUCUAUAAUGUCUUUCUUGCUAGUUUCUUAAAGUGCACAAGCAUAUUUCUAGUUCAUGAAAAAGUAAUGGUUUUGGAUUUGCUGAAAACUGAGAAGGUGAUGUAUUGACAUUAGAAAUACAAUCUGUUACUUGAAACUCAUGAGUCAUGGCAGUGGUGGAUAUCUUCCACAGUUAACUUGGGCUGCAUCAACGGCAUCUAUUACUAUCCACAAUUUGCGAGUGUUGUAUACCAUAAUGAGGACUAGCAGGGGUAGAUAUUAUGAGAAGCUUUAGAGCUGACUUUUAUGACAAUGAAAUUCUCACCAAAAGGAACUUAUAGACUUUUCGUGUAAACAUUAGAAUUUGGAAUAUGUUACUCAUUACACAACGUUUAUGCUAGCAUUUGGAAUAUUUUUUGGAUGGAACUUAUUAUUGAAGUUAUAAUAUUAUGAUUUCUACAUUUACAAUU